rnacentral:rRNA from 1 species
GACGAACGCUGGCGGCGUGCUUAACACAUGCAAGUCGAACGGGAAGUCCCUGCUUUGGGGGGGUGCGCGGGGUGCGAACGGGGGAGUAGCACUUGGGUAACCUGCCCUUGACUGUGGGAGAACUUCAUGCAACUUGGUGUAAUAGGGGAUAGGAUCUCCUGCUUCAGGGUGGGGGUGGGAAGGUUUCGGCGGUUGGGGAUGGACUCGCGGCUUAUCAGCUUGAUGGUGGGGUAGUGGGUGACGAAGGCUUUGACGGGUAGCCGGCGGGAGAGGGUGACCAGCCACAUUGGGACUGAGACACGGCCCAGACCCAUACGCGUGGCAGAAGUGGGGAAUAUUGAAAUAUGGGCGGAAGCGUGAUCCAGAACCGCCGCGUGCGGGAUGACGGUCUUCGGGUUGUAAUCCGAAUUCGCUUUUGCCGAAGCGUGUGUGACCGUAACGGGUAAAGAAGCACCGGCUAACUACGUG